AGAUCAGAGACCAGAGGGACAUGGGGUCUUUCUUCAGUGGUGACGCUGGGUUUUCUUCACAUUUCCUUCCACAAAGAAGCAGCACAAAAGAGCGCUGGACUUGCGGCUAGUCGGAGCUCUGCGUCCACCCGCCCGUGUGACCUGAUCCGCCCCUCGCCUACUUCCAGAGCCCGUGGAAGUGGAGAAGUUGAUGGAAGAUGUUGGCCCCACAUUCCUGCGUGGUGCCGAUUCACACUCCUGUGUGGGGCGGAGAACACCAGCUCGCUCUACGGUAUCAAACACCUCUCCAGCUGUGCACAGCCUUUUGGCUCCUUGGCUCUUGGCCAGGAGAUGGAACCUGACAUACCUCAGGAAGCACGGCCUCUGGAAGGUGCCCCUCUGCAGCAGUGAGGGUUCCUAGGACCUCACUGCAGAAGAUGCUGAAGCAUGUGAGAACUGCUGUACCCCGCCAAACGGAGGGGCAGGAGGAAAAGGCCACUGAGAUUCUUUCAAGUCCAGAUCAACGGGUAUGAGUCUUUCUUCCGAAGCUGAUGAACGACACAAACGGUGGAGGAACCACUUCAGAUAUUUUUUAAGUCACCAUGAAGAAGUAUGAAUAUUUUUAUAGGCUUAUGCUUUACAAAUUGAAUUAACAAUCAUUAUCCCACUGAUUCUGCAAAGUACAGAUGAGAGGCAAAGAAAGACAAGGCAAAUAAAACUGGCCAGGGUAGUUUUUCCUCCAGAGUUUGUCGCUUCCCAUUCUAUCCAUCCUCCUCUUUUUCCUCUCUUUGCUAACUGCUGAUGCAACUACCUUUACUUUGGCCCCGUUUAUAUUCGGAAGACUUUUACUAAGAUUACUUUGCGAAGAAACAUAGGAUUCUUGUUUUGGAACCUGCCAUUAAGUGCAAAGUCCAAGAUAAACCAGAGCAGUGAAUUGAAAGUUCUAAAUCCGCUUAAAAGCUUCUGUGUUCCACAAUUCACUGCAGAUUUAAAAAAAGAAACCUGGCUACUAAAUCACUAUGCUUAGAGCCAGACAAGCAAGAUCACAACACACUACAAUAUCUUGGUAGAAUGACUUAUUAAGUGCACUUAAGUGUACACUAAAAUGCAAAGGAAAGUUAACACAGCAGGUUGAACCCAGUGCUUCCUAACCAUCCCAUCUCUUUCUUCAUGUUGAGCUUCUUCGCCAGUAUGGGCAAGUACCACUAUCUUCAUUUCCAGAUGUGUUCAGAUAAGCAUAAAUCUCUGCUAGGAACACAAAUAAUGCCAGCAUCAACUAUCAGGAAGGAACCAGAGUGUCCUAACUUCUUAGGUAGAGAGCCAUUUCCUGCAACUUCUAAUUUCAC
rnacentral:lncRNA from 1 species